GCGCUAAAGAAUUUGUGUGAUGCUGGCAUUGUCCAGCCUUAUCCUCCUCUCUGUGAUGUUAAAGGCAGUUAUGUAUCCCAGUUUGAGCAUACCAUUUUGCUUCGGCCAACCUGCAAAGAGGUCGUAUCCAGAGGUGAUGACUACUGAUAUGGGCGACGAUAACUUUGCCAUGAAAACCUGCAUGGUGGUUGUACCAUGUUUUUUGAGUACAAACAGGAAUAAGUUUAUUUUUGUGUUUUCCACAUUUAUCUCUGUUAUCUUUAACUGCAAUGAAAAAUUUUCUCAGUAUU